rnacentral:rRNA from 1 species
UAGUGGCGAACGGGUGAGUAACACGUGGGCAAUCUGCCCUGCACUCUGGGACAAGCCCUGGAAACGGGGUCUAAUACCGGAUAUGACCAUUGACCGCAUGGUUGGUGGUGUAAAGCUCCGGCGGUGCAGGAUGAGCCCGCGGCCUAUCAGCUUGUUGGUGGGGUGAUGGCCUACCAAGGCGACGACGGGUAGCCGGCCUGAGAGGGCGACCGGCCACACUGGGACUGAGACACGGCCCAGACUCCUACGGGAGGCAGCAGUGGGGAAUAUUGCACAAUGGGCGAAAGCCUGAUGCAGCGACGCCGCAGUGAGGGAUGACGGCCUUCGGGUUGUAAACCUCUUUCAGCAGGGAAGAAGCGCANGUGACGGUACCUGCAGAAGAAGCACCGGCUAACUACGUGCCAGCAGCCCGCGGUAAUACGUAGGGUGCGAGCGUUGUCCGGAAUUAUUGGGCGUAAAGAGCUCGUAGGCGGCUUGUCGCGUCGGAUGUGAAAGCCCGGCG